GACGAACGCUGGCGGCGUGCUUAACACAUGCAAGUCGAACGGAAAGGCCUGCUUUCCCUUGUGGAUUGCGGUUACUCGAGUGGCGAACGGGUGAGUAACACGUGAGUGAUCUGCCCCCAACUUGGGUAUAAGCCUGGGAAACUGGGUCUAAUUCCCGAUAGGACUGCAGGGUGGUGCCUGUGGUGGAAAACGAUUUUCUAGUGGUUGGGGAUGAGCUCGCGGCCUAUCAGCUUGUUGGUGGGGUAAUGGCCUACCAAGGCGGCGACGGGUAGCCGGCCUGAGAGGGUGGACGGCCACAUUGGGACUGAGAUACGGCCCAGACUGCUACGGGAGGCAGCAGUGGGGAAUAUUGCACAAUGGGCGGAAGCCUGAUGCAGCGACGCCGCGUGGGGGAUGACGGCCUUCGGGUUGUAAACUCCUUUCGACCGCGAGGAAGCCACCUGGUUGGAAGGGUGGUGACGGUAGUGGUAGAAGAAGCACCGGCUAACUACGUG
rnacentral:rRNA from 1 species